rnacentral:sRNA from 2 species
CAAAGAGACCGCGAAACCGUUGGGAGGGAAACGGAUGUGGCCGUGAAGGCUCCUUUCAGGUUCAGGGCGUCUCCGCUCGGGCGGCAGCGGCGGCUGGGAACCCUUUGUCGGGUCCGGCCGCGGCGAGUCCGCGGAGGCUCCUGCAUUCCCGUCUGGAGUCCGCCAACGGCGGGUGUCGGCGGUCGAAGAGGGUCGCGGGGUUAGGUGCCUCUUCCCGGCUCGGCCGGGCGGGAGGGCUUACAGCCUUCGGCUCGGAGAGCGUCGACGCCCGAGGAGUGUUGCGACCUCUCGCACGACGUAGCGCAGGCCGCCCUCGGGGGGCCGGGUCGCUCUCGUACUUGCGUCCUUCGCGGCGAGGCACUGCUCGCAGAGUCCGCCGACGUUCGGGGCGCUCGCACGGGGGACGGAUCACGCUUUGCGCUUCGGUCGUUGGCGCGAGUACGGCUCCAUUCGA